rnacentral:snRNA from 1 species
GUGCCCAAUCUGGCAACAUAUAUACUAAAAUUAGAAUUAUACAGAGAAGGUCAGCAUUCCCUGUCCAAGGAUGACGCAAACUUUUGAAGUAUUUUAUAUAUAC